AUAAAUUGCCCAGAAACCAACAGUGGUAGCAACUGGGCUGGCCCAUGUGUAUAUUACCAUACAACCACGAAUCACAGAGAUCGCUGUCAGUAUCAACAACCAAACUCCAAUCGCCAACAAACCAUAGGCAUGGUGAUUAUCAGUCAUGUUUUCGCCAGAUAUUGAUGUUUUCAAAAAAAUGAUAAUUAUAACAUCUAUGUCUACGACGUUUGUUCUGUACAGACUGUCAGUGCGUCGUUUAAAUGGGCU